rnacentral:rRNA from 1 species
UACGUAGGUGGCAAGCGUUUGUCCGGAAUUAUUGGGCGUAAAGCGCGCGCAGGUGGUUUCUUAAGUCUGAUGUGAAAGCCCACGGCUCAACCGUGGAGGGUCAUUGGAAACUGGGGAACUUGAGUGCAGAAGAGGAAAGUGGAAUUCCAAGUGUAGCGGUGAAAUGCGUAGAGAUUUGGAGGAACACCAGUGGCGAAGGCGACUUUCUGGUCUGUAACUGACACUGAGGCGCGAAAAGCGUGGGGAGCGAACAGG